rnacentral:rRNA from 1 species
CGAUCUUGAUCCUGGCUCAGGAUGAACGCUGGCGGCGUGCCUAAUACAUGCAAGUCGAGCGAACAGACGAGGAGCUUGCUCCUUUGACGUUAGCGGCGGACGGGUGAGUAACACGUAGGUAACCUACCUAUAAGACUGGGAUAACUUCGGGAAACCGGAGCUAAUACCGGAUAAUAUUUCGAACCGCAUGGUUCGAUAGUGAAAGAUGGCUUUGCUAUCACUUAUAGAUGGACCUGCGCCGUAUUAGCUAGUUGGUAAGGUAACGGCUUACCAAGGCAACGAUACGUAGCCGACCUGAGAGGGUGAUCGGCCACACUGGAACUGAGACACGGUCCAGACUCCUACGGGAGGCAGCAGUGGGGAAUAUUGGGCAAUGGGGGAAACCCUGACCCAGCGACGCCGCGUGAGGGAAGACGGCCUUCGGGUUGUAAACCUCUUUUGUAUGGGAAGAAGGAAGUGACGGUACCAUACGAAUAAGUCCCGGCUAACUACGUGCCAGCAGCCGCGGUAAUACGUAGGGGACGAGCGUUGUCCGGAAUUACUGGGCGUAAAGGGCGCGCAGGCUGUGCUGCAAGUCAGCUGUUAAAUGUCUGGGCUUAACCCGGGCAUGCGGUUGAGACUGCGGUGCUGGAGUGCUGUAGAGGCAAGUGGAAUUCCCAGUGUAGCGGUGAAAUGCGUAGAUAUUGGGAAGAACACCGGUGGCGAAGGCGACUUGCUGGGCAGCAACUGACGCUGAGGCGCGAAAGCCAGGGGAGCAAACGGGAUUAGAUACCCCGGUAGUCCUGGCCGUAAACGAUGAAUGCUAGGUGUGGGUGUAGAGAUACAUCCGUGCCGGAGCUAACGCGAUAAGCAUUCCGCCUGGGGAGUACGGUCGCAAGAUUGAAACUCAAAGGAAUUGACGGGGGCCCGCACAAGCGGUGGAGCACGUGGUUUAAUUCGAUGCAAACCGAAGAACCUUACCUGGGUUUGACAUGUACGUGGUACGGAGAUGAAAGUUGAAGGACUCCGCCUUCGGGUGGAGAGCGUACACAGGUGCUGCAUGGCUGUCGUCAGCUCGUGUCGU